rnacentral:rRNA from 1 species
UACGGAGGGUGCAACCGUUGUUCGGAUUUACUGGGCGUAAAGCGCGUGUAGGCGGCUUUACAAGUCGGAUGUGAAAGCCCACGGCUCAACCGUGGAAGUGCAUCCGAAACUGUAUCGCUGGAGUCCCGGAGAGGAAGGUGGAAUGCUUGGUGUAGAGGUGAAAUUCGUAGAUAUCAAGCAGAACACCUGCGGCGAAGGCGGCCUUCUGGACGGUGACUGACGCUGAGACGCGAAAGCGUGGGGAGCAAACAGG